GCCAGUAUAGUGUAAUGGUUUGAACAUUAGACUAUGACUCAAGAGACCAGGGUUUGAAUCCCUGCUCAGCCA